rnacentral:rRNA from 1 species
GAACGCUGGCGGCGUGCCUAAUACAUGCAAGUCGAGCGAACAGAUAAGGAGCUUGCUCCUUUGACGUUAGCGGCGGACGGGUGAGUAACACGUGGGUAACCUACCUAUAAGACUGGGAUAACUUCGGGAAACCGGAGCUAAUACCGGAUAACAUUUGGAACCGCAUGGUUCUAAAGUGAAAGAUGGUUUUGCUAUCACUUAUAGAUGGACCCGCGCCGUAUUAGCUAGUUGGUAAGGUAACGGCUUACCAAGGCGACGAUACGUAGCCGACCUGAGAGGGUGAUCGGCCACACUGGAACUGAGACACGGUCCAGACUCCUACGGGAGGCAGCAGUAGGGAAUCUUCCGCAAUGGGCGAAAGCCUGACGGAGCAACGCCGCGUGAGUGAUGAAGGGUUUCGGCUCGUAAAACUCUGUUAUUAGGGAAGAACAAAUGUGUAAGUAACUGUGCACAUCUUGACGGUACCUAAUCAGAAAGCCACGGCUAACUACGUGCCAGCAGCCGCGGUAAUACGUAGGUGGCAAGCGUUAUCCGGAAUUAUUGGGCGUAAAGCGCGCGUAGGCGGUUUCUUAAGUCUGAUGUGAAAGCCCACGGCUCAACCGUGGAGGGUCAUUGGAAACUGGGAAACUUGAGUGCAGAAGAGGAAAGUGGAAUUCCAUGUGUAGCGGUGAAAUGCGCAGAGAUAUGGAGGAACACCAGUGGCGAAGGCGACUUUCUGGUCUGUAACUGACGCUGAUGUGCGAAAGCGUGGGGAUCAAACAGGAUUAGAUACCCUGGUAGUCCACGCCGUAAACGAUGAGUGCUAAGUGUUAGGGGGUUUCCGCCCCUUAGUGCUGCAGCUAACGCAUAAGC